GACGAACGCUGGCGGCGUGCCUAAUACAUGCAAGUAGAACGCUGAAGGAGGAGCUUGCUUCUCUGGAUGAGUUGCGAACGGGUGAGUAACGCGUAGGUAACCUGCCUGGUAGCGGGGGAUAACUAUUGGAAACGAUAGCUAAUACCGCAUAAUAGUAGAUGUUGCAUGACAUUUGCCUAAAAGGUGCAAUUGCAUCACUACCAGAUGGACCUGCGUUGUAUUAGCUAGUUGGUGGGGUAACGGCUCACCAAGGCGACGAUACAUAGCCGACCUGAGAGGGUGAUCGGCCACACUGGGACUGAGACACGGCCCAGACUCCUACGGGAGGCAGCAGUAGGGAAGCUUCGGCAAUGGACGGAAGUCUGACCGAGCAACGCCGCGUGAGUGAAGAAGGGUUUCGGAUCGUAAAGCUCUGUUGUAAGAGAAGAACGAGUGUGAGAGUGGAAAGUUCACACUGUGACGGUAGCUUACCAGAAAGGGACGGCUAACUACGUG
rnacentral:rRNA from 1 species